UACGUAGGCAGCGAGCGUUGUUCGGAGUUACUGGGCGUAAAGCGUGCGUAGGCGGUCUUGUAAGUCUGGUGUGAAAUCUCCCGGCUCAACUGGGAGGGUGCGCCGGAAACUGCAAGGCUGGAGUAUGGGAGAGGUAGGCGGAAUUCCUGGUGUAGCGGUGAAAUGCGUAGAUAUCAGGAGGAACACCUGUGGUGUAGACGGCUUACUGGACCAUGACUGACGCUGAGGCACGAAAGCGUGGGGAGCAAACAGG
rnacentral:rRNA from 1 species